rnacentral:lncRNA from 1 species
AGAGCUCGAGGGAGAUGGAGACAGAGAGCUCAAAGGAGAUGGAGACAGAGAGCUCGAGAGCUCAAAAUCGAGAAAUAUGGAGAUGAGAGAUCGAGAUGAGAAAUAUGGAGAUGAGAGAUCGAGAUAUGAAUCGGGAGAAGAGAGCUCAAGCAAAGUUGCGGCUGCGUCAAAUGGGAAAGGGGAGAGAUGCGGCUGCGUCUAAUUAGGGCUAGGUUUAUUUGUAAAUAUUGAAAGAUGUUAAGGAUAAAAAUGUAAAUUGACUUCUGGCCGCAUCAUUUAUGUCGCGACCGCGGGAUUUCAGAGCGUCGAU